rnacentral:rRNA from 1 species
GACGAACGCUGGCGGCGUGCUUAACACAUGCAAGUCGAACGGAAAGGCCCUGCUUUUGUGGGGUGCUCGAGUGGCGAACGGGUGAGUAACACGUGAGUAACCUGCCCUUGACUUUGGGAUAACUUCAGGAAACUGGGGCUAAUACCGGAUAGGAGCUCCUGCUGCAUGGUGGGGGUUGGAAAGUUUCGGCGGUUGGGGAUGGACUCGCGGCUUAUCAGCUUGUUGGUGGGGUAGUGGCUUACCAAGGCUUUGACGGGUAGCCGGCCUGAGAGGGUGACCGGGCAGAGGGGGACUGAGUGGCGGACUGGACGCCUGCGUGAGGCAGCAGUGCGGAGUGUGGGAGAAUGGGCGGAAGCCUGAAGACGGAAUGCUGCGGGCGCGAUGGGGGACUGAGGGUUGUAGGCAACUAACGCCUGUGAAGCAGCGUGCGAGACGCGAAUGUGUAAAGAAGAACCGGCUAGCCACGUG